rnacentral:miRNA from 14 species
GUGUGUGUGUGUGUGUGUGUGUGUGUGUGUGUGUGUGUGUAGGCGUGCACACACACACAUGCAUUCACA